rnacentral:rRNA from 1 species
GAUGAACGCUGGCGGCGUGCCUAACACAUGCAAGUCGAGCGAUUCUCUUCGGAGAAGAGCGGCGGACGGGUGAGUAACGCGUGGGUAACCUGCCUCAUACACAUGGAUAACAUACCGAAAGGUAUGCUAAUACAGGAUAACAUAAGAGAUUCGCAUGUUUCUCUUAUCAAAGCUCCGGCGGUAUGAGAUGGACCCGCGUCUGAUUAGCUAGUUGGUAAGGUAAUGGCUUACCAAGGCGACGAUCAGUAGCCGACCUGAGAGGGUGAUCGGCCACAUUGGAACUGAGACACGGUCCAAACUCCUACGGGAGGCAGCAGUGGGGAAUAUUGCACAAUGGGCGAAAGCCUGAUGCAGCAACGCCGCGUGAGUGAUGAAGGCCUUCGGGUCGUAAAACUCUGUCCUCAAGGAAG